rnacentral:rRNA from 1 species
GUGACGCGUGAGCAACCUGCCUUUGCAACCGGGAUAACAGUUGGAAACGACUGCUAAUACGGGAUGACGUACACGGGUCGCAUGGCCUGUGUACCAAAGAUGCGUCGUGCAAAGAUGGGCUCGCGUCUGAUUAGAUAGUUGGCGGGUAAGGCCCACCAAGUCGACGAUCAGUAGCCGGACUGAGAGGUUGAACGGCCACAUUGGAACUGAGAUACGGUCCAGACUCCUACGGGAGGCAGCAGUGGGGAAUAUUGGGCAAUGGGCGAAAGCCUGACCCAGCGACGCCGCGUGAGGGAAGAAGGUCUUCGGAUUGUAAACCUCUGUUGACAGGGAAGAAGAAAGUGACGGUACCUGUCGAGGAAGUCACGGCUAACUACGUG